GUUAGUGGCGGACGGGUGAGUAACACGUGGGAACGUGCCUUUAGGUUCGGAAUAGCUCCUGGAAACGGGUGGUAAUGCCGAAUGUGCCCUUCGGGGGAAAGAUUUAUCGCCUUUAGAGCGGCCCGCGUCUGAUUAGCUAGUUGGUGAGGUAACGGCUCACCAAGGCGACGAUCAGUAGCUGGUCUGAGAGGAUGACCAGCCACACUGGGACUGAGACACGGCCCAGACUCCUACGGGAGGCAGCAGUGGGGAAUCUUGCGCAAUGGGCGAAAGCCUGACGCAGCCAUGCCGCGUGAAUGAUGAAGGUCUUAGGAUUGUAAAAUUCUUUCACCGGGGACGAUAAUGACGGUACCCGGAGAAGAAGCCCCGGCUAACUUCGUGCCAGCAGCCGCGGUAAUACGAAGGGGGCUAGCGUUGCUCGGAAUUACUGGGCGUAAAGGGCGCGUAGGCGGAUCGUUAAGUCAGAGGUGAAAUCCCAGGGCUCAACCCUGGAACUGCCUUUGAUACUGGCGAUCUUGAGUAUGAGAGAGGUAUGUGGAACUCCGAGUGUAGAGGUGAAAUUCGUAGAUAUUCGGAAGAACACCAGUGGCGAAGGCGACAUACUGGCUCAUUACU
rnacentral:rRNA from 1 species